CCUACGGGAGGCAGCAGUGAGGAAUAUUGGUCAAUGGGCGCGAGCCUGAACCAGCCAAGUAGCGUGAAGGAUGACUGCCCUACGGGUUGUAAACUUCUUUUAUAAAGGAAUAAAGUGAGGCACGUGUGCCUUCUUGUCUGUACUUUAUGAAUAAGGAUCGGCUAACUCCGUGCCAGCAGCCGCGGUAAUACGGGGGAUGCGGGCGUUAUCCGGAUUUCUUGGGGUAAAGGGGUGCGCAGGCGGGCUGUUAAGCCGGCGGUAAAAAUUCAGGGCUCAACCCUGUCGAGCCGUCGGAACUGGCAGCCUUGAGUGGGCGAGAAGUAUGCGGAAUGCGUGGUGUAGCGGUGAAAUGCGUAGAUAUCACGCAGAACGCCGAUUGCGAAGGCAGCAUACCGGCGCCCGACUGACGCUGAGGCACGAAAGCGUGGGGAUCGAACAGGAUUAGAUACCCGAGUAGUC
rnacentral:rRNA from 1 species